rnacentral:rRNA from 1 species
GAUGAACGCUGGCGGCGUGCCUAAUACAUGCAAGUCGAGCGAACGGACGAGAAGCUUGCUUCUCUGAUGUUAGCGGCGGACGGGUGAGUAACACGUGGAUAACCUACCUAUAAGACUGGGAUAACUUCGGGAAACCGGAGCUAAUACCGGAUAAUAUUUUGAACCGCAUGGGUCAAAAGUGAAAGACGGUCUUGCUGUCACGUAUAGAGGGAUCCGCGCUGCAUUAGCUAGUUGGUAAGGUAACGGCUUACCAAGGUAACGAUGCAUAGCCGACCUGAGAGGGUGAUCGGCCACACUGGAACUGAGACACGGUCCAGACUCCUACGGGAGGCAGCAGUAGGGAAUCUUCCGCAAUGGGCGAAAGCCUGACGGAGCAACGCCGCGUGAGUGAUGAAGGUCUUCGGAUCGUAAAACUCUGUUAUUAGGGAAGAACAUAUGUGUAAGUAACUGUGCACAUCUUGACGGUACCUAAUCAGAAAGCCCCGGCUAACUACGUG